AGUAAUUCAGACAUAGAGCAAUAUUUAUAUUUAGAAUAAGAAAGCAAUAGUGAGCCCUUCUUUGCGGAUGUUGAGUGUCAUGUGGUCUCCAGUGCAGAAACUAUAGUUUCGCAGCUGGUUUACAGAAUGCUCUCAAUUACAAUGAAGAUCUUCUGCAUAUUGACUCAUGAAAGAAAACUAUAAAGAUCAUUAAUGUUGAUUUGAUUAUGAAGAGCUUCCAUUUUAACUGAAGAUUUUGCCUCUGUCUUGGUGCCUCACUGCGUAGAAGGAAUACGGCAAGCCUGCGAGGGAAGGAGUAUUAGGCGCAUUUUACCAACAAAGACAUUGAAGCUCAGAAAGUUCAAACAACUCGCCUGAGGAUAGAGAACUAACAAGUGACAGAAACACUCAGUUUGCGCCUCUUCCGUUCCUGUGAUUGCUUGCUCUCAAGGAAAGAAUAACACACGUCCGAUCAGGAUGCCAUAAACACAGCGGAAGCGAGGUCGUGCUCUCACACUUGGGCUCCUUGUUGCCGGUAUCCCCUAUGCUUUUUUAAAGUGUGGCUUUAGGAAACGUUCUGCUGCGGUCGUUUGCUGU